CAGGUCCUGGGGUCAAGCAGGAGAGGACUAAAGGAGAGAAGGAGCCACGGCACAGCAGAGACAUCCAGACUAGAGAGCCCCCUGUAGCCACGGAGGACCCCACCUCCGCCCCAGUGCCGUGUAGGACCCGACCCAGCAUCACCGAGGCAAGAGGUGAGGUCUUUUCCAGAGCCCCAUUGAUGGGCAUAGCAGCAUAGAUCAGCUCCUGGCCCCUCAUCAAAGGCACUGGUUGAAGCAUAUCCCUAACAUCCAGACAGAUGUCAAGAACUUGGGAACCUCCCAGCCACCAGGAUAAUCAUCUUGUUCUUGGAGUUUAUUCACAAGGUUCUACAGAGAGAAUAUUCCAAGGACCACCAGAGCCUUCUGACCAAUUAUCUGCGAUCUCGCCAGAGCACAGAGAAGCAAGGUCCGCUGGUGGUAAUAUACUUUAUGCUCUAUGUAAACCCCCUUCACUAUGGCUGUCUGUCUCUGUGUGAUGACAUACUGUAGCAUAUAAUCCAGGGCCACUGGUUGGAUUGGAUUUACUGUACUCCAACUCAUGCCCUCUCCCUCUAAAAGUCUCCCAGACUUUUAUAAAAACGAACYAGGCCAUCCCCCUGUCCCCAGGUGAGUCUGCUGGGCCAUGGAACUCUAGAGCAGCACAGCAAAACACCUGCCACCAUGUUGUCAGCUAUCAGCAGACAGUUCCCUGAGGAAGGAUGCAACCAUCAAAGCUUUAAGAGGGACAAAUUAAAGGGGAUGACCACCAAAUGCAAUKAAGUUUUGUAUAAACUACUCAUGUUAAUUUUUUAAUAGGUUACAAAACCAUAACUGUUUUAGCCUGUACUCAUUUUUACUAACUACUAUGGUAACUUAAACAUCUGACAACAUGCAGACUUUCUCCAUCAAGAUAGCACUUGGCGCUUCUGAUUCAAAGAGGUCUAAAAAUCAAUGCAAGUCUCAUCCAGGGUGAAUAAAUUAUUCUUCAUGUAUAAAAGAUCACACAGGUGUGCCAACUAAAAUAUAUAUCCCAGACAAGCCUGAGGUAUAGGACAAUAGGCUGUGUUUAGACAGGCAGCCCAAGUCAGAUUUUUUUUCUUCACCAAUUGGUCUUUUGACCAAUCAGAUCAGCGCUGAAAAAGAUCUGAUGUGAAAAGAUCUGGGAUUGGUCAAAAGACCAAUUAGUGGAAAAAUAUCAGGAUUGGGCUGCCUGUGAACACAGCCAGAGACAAGUGAAUAUAAGUCUGUUCUUGUGUUCGUAGAAGUUUGUAAGAAUUUGAGUGGUUACAUACAGUACAUGUUAAAUGGCUACGAGACAUAAGGAUACUCUUGCUGUAAUCAAAGAGAAGGUACUGCUGAAGGCCCCAGUAUUCAGUCAGGCAGCUUGAAGCAUAUGUCACCAUCCGGGCCCUUGUCACAGCAUGCAGAGACCUGAUGGGGAGAUGACAAUAAAUACAUUAUGUAACUUUCA